rnacentral:rRNA from 1 species
UUGGAGGGCAAGUCUGGUGCCAGCAGCCGCGGUAAUUCCAGCUCCAAUAGCGUAUAUUAAAGUUGUUGCAGUUAAAAAGCUCGUAGUUGAAUUUCGGGGUUAGCAGGUUGGUCGUGCCACUGGUAUGUACUGGCCUUGCUGAUUCCUCCCUCUUGAUGAGCCGUAAUGCCAUUAAUUUGGUGUUGCGAGGAAUCAGGACUGUUACUUUGAAAAAAUUAGAGUGUUUAAAGCAGGCAAGCGCUUGAAUACAUUAGCAUGGAAUAAUGAAAUAGGACGUUUGAUCUUAUUUUGUUGGUUUCUAAGAUUGACGUAAUGAUUAAUAGGGAUAGUUGGGGGCAUUAGUAUUCAAUUGUCAGAGGUGAAAUUCUUGGAUUUAUUGAAGACUAACUACUGCGAAAGCAUUUGCCAAGGAUGUUUUCAUUAAUCAAGAACGAAAGUUAGGGGAUCGAAGACGAUCAGAUACCGUCGUAGUCUUAACCAUAAACUAUGCCGACUAGGGAUCGGAUGGUGUUAAUUUUUUAAUGACUCAUUCGGCGCCUUACGGGAAAC